rnacentral:tRNA from 1 species
GCCCAGUUGGCUCACUUGGUGGAGCACGUGACUCUUGAUCUCGGCGUUGUGAGUUAGAGCCCCAUGUUGGGCG